GGUGAGAUGCCUGAGAGGCCGAAAGGAACAGUUUGCUAAACUGUCAUACGGGUUAACUGUAUCGAGGGUUCGAAUCCCUCUCUCACCG
rnacentral:tRNA from 1 species